rnacentral:rRNA from 1 species
UCAAACGAGGAAAGCUUACGUGGAUACCUAGGCACCCAGAGACGAGGAAGGCGUAAUAAUCGACGAAAUGCUCGGGGAGGUUGAAAAAUAAGCGGAGGUCCGGAGAUUCCCGAAGUAGGUCACUUUCGAACUUCUGCUGAAUCCAUGGCAGGCAAGAGACAACCUGGCGAACUGAAAACAUCUUUAGUAGCUAGAGGAAAAGAAGCAAAAGCAAUUCCCGUAGUAGCGGCGAGCGAAAUGGAGCAGCCUAUAAAACCGUUGAAAACGGGGUGUUGUGGGAGAGCAAUUACAAGCGUCGUGCUGCUAGGCGAAUCAGUGGAGUGCUGGUACCCUAGAUGGUGAAAGUCUAGAUAGCCGAAGUAUCACUAGCUUACGCUCUGACCCGGUAGCAUGGGCACGUGGAAUCCCGUGUGAAUCAGCAGAUGACCACCUUGCAGGCUAAGAUACUCCUGGAGUGUGACGAUAGCGAGUAUUUACCGUGAGGGAAGGGUGAAAAAGAACCCCUAUCGGGAGUGGAAAUAGAACAUGAAACCGUAAGCUCUCAAGCAGUGGAAGGCGGGCACAACCGCUGACCGGGCGUGCCUGUUGUAAAGAAUGAGCCGGCGACUCAUAGGCAGUGGCUUGGUUAAGGGAAACCCACCGUCGAGCUCGGCGUACGAAAGCGAGUCUUUCAUUUGGGCAAUUGCACUGUUAUGGACCCGAACCUGGGGUGAUCUAUCCGAUGACAGGAUUGAAGCUGGGUUGAAACUUAAGUGGUAGUCCGAUAUCACGACUGAUGUUGAAGAAUCAGCGGAUGAUGUUGUGGUUAGGGGUGAAAUUCCACUCAACCCAACAGCUAGCUGGUUCUCCCGAGAAUGCGUUUGAGGCGCAUCAGUUGACUGGACAUCUUUAGGAGGUAAAGCAGAGCGGUAUCAAAUCGAAUGGCAAACUCUGAAUACUAGCAUAUGACCUCCGAAAUAACAGGGGUCAAGGAUUCGGCAGUGGAGACGAUGGGGGAUAAGCAUUCAUUCGUCUGAGAGGGAACUUAACCCUGGAGAUUCACAGCUAAGGCCCCUAAAUGACCGCUCAGUGAUAAAGGGAGGUACUGGGAUAUGCAGUAGUACAAGCAAGAGUGUUUGUUCUCUAGAAAGCAAGCCACCCUUGAAUGGUGCGUAAUAGCUCACUGAUCGAGCGCUCUUGCGCCCGAAGAAUGGAACGGGGCUAGCGACUCUGCCGAAAGUGGUGCGGAUGUAAAAAUAGCAUCGGUAGGGAGAGCGUGUCGGUAGUUAGGGAGAACGCAUCGCGCGAGCCGCGCGUUGGACGAACGGAAGCGAGGAAUGUCCGGCUUGAGUAACGCCAAAACAUUGGUAGAGAAUCCAAAUGCCCCGGAAAACUAAGGGGUUCCUCCGCAAGGUUCGUCCACGGAGGGUGAGUCAGGCCUAAGAUUCACGGGCGAAAAGGCUGUAGUCGGUGAGACAACAGUUGGUGAAUAUUCCUGGUACUACCCUUUGUUGGUCGGAUGAAGGUCUAGUUACGAAAGAUGGUUACGGUUCAAGGACGCAAGGUGACCCUGUUUUCAGGGUAAGAGGUGGAAAAUUGCCUCUAGCCAAUGUUAGAGUAAGCGCUAGGCGCUAGUUAACAUUCCAUUGACUCUUAGUAAAGCUCGAACGACCUUCAAAAAGGGUACUUGUAACCCGAAACACUGACACAGGUAGGUAGGUAAAGGAAUACCUAGGGGCGCGAGACAACUCUCUCUAAGGACUCGGGCAAAAUAGCCCCCGUAACUUCGGGAGAAGGGGUGCCCCCUCACCAAAAGGGUGGUCAAAUGACCAGGCCGGGUGCGACUGUUACCAAAAAAUCAGGUCUCCGCAAAGUCGUUACACAUUGUAUGGCUGGACGCCUGCCCUAGUGCCGAAGGUCAAGGAAGUGGUGACUGAUGACAGGGGAGACGGCGACCAAGCCCGCGUAAACGGCGGCCGUUUAACUAUAAACGGUUCCUAGGUAGCGAAUUUCUUGUCGGGUAAUUUGACCCGCACGAAAGGCGUAACGAUCUGGGCACUGUUUCUCGAAGAGAGGCUCGGUGAAAUUAGACAUGUCUAGUGAAGAUGGCGAAACUACCUGCACCUGGAAAGAAAGCCCUUAUUUGAAGCGUUACUGUUCCUUGGGAUUUUGGCUUUGGGCCUGGUUCCUGCGGCAGCUUAGGUGGAAGGCGAGAAGGCCCCUUCCGGGGGGGCCCGAGCCAUCAGUGAGAUACCACUCUGGAAGAGCUAGGAAUUCUAACAUUUUGUGUCAGACCUUACGGCCAAAGGGACAGUCUCAGUGUAGACAGUUUCUAUGCGGGCGUAGGCCUCCCAAAAGUACGGAAGUGCGUUGCAAAGGUUUUCCUCGAGCCAGACGGAGAUUGGCCCUCGAGUGCAAAGCAGCAAGGGUGCUUGACAUGCAAGACCCACCCGUCGAGCAAGGACGAAAGUCGGCCUUAAGCCCCCCCUCGUAGUGAUCCGACGGUAGCCGAGUGGAGGGUCGUCGCUAACGGAUAAAAGUUACUCUAGGGAUAACAGGCUGAUCUUCCCCAAGAGUUUCACAUCGACGGGAAGGUUUAGGCACCUCGAUGUCGGCUUCUUCGCCACCUGGGGCUGUAGUGUGUUCCCAAGGGUUGGGUUGGUUCUCCCAUAAAGCGUAGUGAGCUUGGGUCAGAACGUCGUAUGAGACAGGUUCGGUCCACAUCCGGUGUGGGCGUUAGAGCAUUGAGAGGACCUUUCCUAGUACGAGAGGACGGAAGACGCAACCUCUGCGUGUACCAGUUAUCGUGCCCACGUAAACGCUGGGGUAGCCAAGUGCGGAGCGGAUAAACUGCUGAAAGAUCUAAGUAGUAAGCCCACCCCAAGAUGAGUGCUCUCUAUUCCUAACUUCCCAUGAGCUCCUAAUAGCCACAGCUUGAGGCAGCGACGGGUUUCUCUGCUCUGAGGGGCUUGUGGAGCGACAGAAGUUUGGAAGAGAAGGUCACGGCGAAGACGAGCGCGUUUAUCAUUACGAUAGUUGUUCAAGUGGAAGUUUGCAGUGAUGUAUUGCAGCUGAGGCAUCCUAACAGCACCACAGACUUGAACUU